GUGGGGAAUAUUGGGCAAUGGGCGAAAGCCUGACCCAGCAACGCCGCGUGAAGGAAGAAGGUCUUCGGAUCGUAAACUUCUAUCCUUGGUGAAGAUAAUGACGGUAGCCGAGAAGGAAGCCCCGGCUAACUACGUGCCAGCAGCCGCGGUAAUACGUAGGGGGCAAGCGUUGUCCGGAAUGAUUGGGCGUAAAGGGCGCGUAGGCGGCCUGGUAAGUCUGGAGUGAAAGUCCUGCUUUUAAGGUGGGAAUUGCUUUGGAUACUGUCGGGCUUGAGUGCGGGGGAGGUAAGUGGAAUUCCCGGUGCAGCGUUGAAAUGCGUAGAGAUCGGGAGGAACACCAGUGGCGAAGGCGACUUACUGGACUGUAACUGACGCUGAGGCGCGAAAGUGUGGGGAGCAAACAGGAUUAGAUACCCCGGUAGUCC
rnacentral:rRNA from 1 species